GACGAACGCUGGCGGCGUGCUUAACACAUGCAAGUCGAGCGGUAAGGCCCUUUCGGGGUACGACGAGCGGCGAACGGGUGAGUAACACGUGGGUGACCUGCCCUCAGCUCUGGGAUAAGCCUGGGAAACCGGGUCUAAUACUGGAUAUGACUCCAUGACGCAUGUUGUGGGGUGGAAAGCCUUGUGCGGCUGAGGAUGGGCCCGCGGCCUAUCAGCUUGUUGGUGGGGUGANGGCCCUACCAAGGCGACGACGGGUAGCCGGCCUGAGAGGGCGACCGGCCACACUGGGACUGAGACACGGCCCAGACUCCUACGGGAGGCAGCAGUGGGGAACCUUGCGCAAUGGGCGAAAGCCUGACGCAGCGACGCCGCGUGAGGGAUGACGGCCUGGUGUAACUAC
rnacentral:rRNA from 1 species